GAAUGUAGCUAGGAAGUCAGAGUUGCCUUAAUUUUUCCCCUCUUUGUCUAAAAUGGUCUUGGCAUCUUCCCGUCUCCCCACUUGCUUUCCCCACAAGAGCAGGGGGUAAAACAAGAAACUGCCAGUUUCAUCACCCUUCCAGUGCUUGAGUUUCUGGCUCAAUCCUGACAUUUAUAUCAGCCAAAUUUUCUGCAACAUAGACACUGUGCAGUGACUCAAAGAGCCUGCCAGGAAUCAGAUGCUUAAUGGACGUGGCCUUCUAAUGAAGAAGAAGGAAAAUUAAAAUCAAAGGAUUGACAUAUGUUCUCAUCCAUGCUGGAGAAACUCUUGUAUGCCGAGCACUUCUCAGACAGAUGUCAGGGCAUCCAGAGAACUACUUCAAGACCACUUCCAAUCGACACUAAUACCAUGCUGAAGCAUCAGAUCAAUACUGGCUGGGAUGCUGAACCCUUCCCCUUGAAUCCGCAGCCUCAUGUCAAUUGGCUCUUUACUAAAGGAUGGAGAUGCUUCCUGGAGCUUGGAGAAAAUAUCCUUAUCUUUACCCUUUCAAGUCUCUGUCCCCAUGACCCAGCCAUUCUUUU
rnacentral:lncRNA from 1 species